rnacentral:tRNA from 1 species
AGAAAGCUAGUUAAACAAUAACAUCAGACUGUCAGACUGAAAUUAUCAGUAAAUACCCUGAUGCUUUUUA